rnacentral:rRNA from 1 species
AGGACGAACGCUGGCGGCGUGCUUAACACAUGCAAGUCGAACGGUGAAGCUUCAGCUUGCUGGAGUGGAUCAGUGGCGAACGGGUGAGUAACACGUGAGCAACCUGCCCCAAACUCUGGAAUAAGCGCUGGAAACGGCGUCUAAUACUGGAUACGAGACGGAUCGCAUGGUUACCGUUUGGAAGUUUUUCGGUUGGGAUGGGCUCGCGGCCUAGUCAGCUUGUGGUGAGGUAUGGCUACACCGAGGCGACGACGGGUAGCCGGCUGGAGACGGGCGACCGGCCACGACGUGGGACUGACGACACCGGCCCAGACCUCCGGUACGGGACGCAGCGAGGUAGGGAAU